UGGACCCCUCCUGUUUUCAGUAGGGGGAACUCAGGGGUUCGGGCAAACCGGGGAAGGUGGGGAUGAUCAGGUCUCUUCCUUCGCCAGGGUCCCGGUCAAUGGCGUCAGAGGGUCCAACUCGCGAGAGUGACCAAUCCCUUAAAACGGUGUAGUCCGGAUCGGAGUUGCAACUGACUCCGGAAGUGGAAUCGUAGUAAUCGGAAUCAGAAUGUCGCGGUGAAUACGUUCCCGGGCCUUGUACACACCGCCCGUCACACCAUGGGAGUGGAUUGCACCAGAAGUAGUUAGUUAACCUUCGGGAGGACGAUUACCACGGUGUGGUUCAUGACUGGGGUGAAGUCCCCCCCACCAGAGAUCCUCGGGCAGAAU
rnacentral:rRNA from 1 species